GGUCCCGCCUCCAUGCCCAUCCCAAGAUGGCGGAGAUCCCCCUGUACUUUGUGGACUUGCAGGAUGACUUAGACGACUAUGGAUUUGAAGACUAUGGUACAGAUUGCGACAACAUGAGAGUAACGGCCUUCUUGGACAUUCCAGGCCAGGAUAACCUGCCUCCACUCACUCGCCUGGAGAAGUAUGCUUUCAGCGAGAACACCUUCAACCGGCAGAUUAUUGCCAGAGGGCUGCUUGAUAUCUUCCGGGACUUCGGUAACAAUGAAGAAGACUUCCUCACGGUAAUGGAGAUUGUAGUCAGAUUGUCAGAAGAUGCAGAGCCCACAGUGCGGACUGAGCUGAUGGAACAGAUUCCUCCUAUUGCCAUUUUUUUACAAGAAAACAGAUCAAAUUUUCCAGUGGUGCUCUCUGAAUAUCUCAUACCUAUUGUAGUGAGGUACCUCACAGAUCCAAACAAUCAGAUAAUCUGCAAAAUGGCUUCAAUGCUGAGUAAGAGUACCGUUGAACGCCUGCUACUCCCCCGAUUCUGUGAACUGUGUGGUGACAGGAAGCUCUUUCAAGUUCGGAAGGUUUGUGCUGCAAAUUUUGGUGAUAUUUGUCAUGCUGUUGGACAAGAAGCCACUGAGAAAUUUUUGAUCCCAAAGUUCUUUGAGCUCUGCUCUGAUGCUGUUUGGGGCAUGCGGAAAGCCUGUGCAGAAUGCUUCACGGCUGUGUCGCACAGCUCCUCCCCUGGGGUCCGCAGAACCCAGCUCUUCCCGCUCUUCAUCAGACUUGUCAGCGACCCCUGCCGAUGGGUGCACCAGGCUGCCUUCCAGUCCCUCGGCCCCUUCACUUCCACCUUUGCAAACCCCUCCAGGGCUGGCCUUUAUCUUCGAGAGGAUGGCGCCCUGAGCAUCUGGCCACUCACCCAGGAUUUGGACUCUGGUUUUGCCUCUGGCUCCCCUGCUCCCAGCAGUGGUGGUAACACUUCCCCUGCCAGUUUAACUCGUUCAGCAAAGCCUGUGCGGAGCGAGCCAGAGCUACCUGUGGAAGGGACCUCAGCGAAAACCAGUGAUUGCCCACACAGCAGUAGCUCCUCUGACGGCCCAGCGGAAAGCCCUGUGGAAAGCUGUGUGUCGGCUGGAGCUGAGUGGACCAGGGUUUCCCCAGAGACCAGCGCCUGCUCAAAGCUUUCUGACAUGAAUGACCUCCCCAUCAGCAGCUACCCUGGAUCAGAUUCCUGGGCCUGCCCAGGGAACACUGAGGAUGUGUUCAGUCAUUUUCUUUAUUGGUGAACUCCUCUCCCUGACAUAAGCAAGGACUUAGAGCUGCUUCUGAGUGAGGCUGGGCCUCAGGAGGACGACUGCAGCAGACCUGGGGUUGUGCACAACAGCUGUGUGGCCCGGAGUGAGAUUCAGAAAGUCCUUGGUAGCUUGCAGGAGCAUCUGAUGAAUGAUCCAGAUGUUCAAGCUCAAGUUCAGGUAUUAUCCGCUGCACUGAGAGCUGCACAGCUCGACUGCGUGAAUGAAGCUGAGAGCAAGCCAACAGCAGGCCUAAAGGAAGUGUCCAUUUCACAUCCCAGCUCUGCCUCUGACAAUCAGAUCGCUCUGGCGGCCUCAUCAUCUCAGGAUGAGCUCUUUGUGGCCAGGAUAUUACAAAGCCCAGAUCCAGGUGGACCCAGAAAUGGAACCAGUGACCAUCUGGAGACUGACCAGAGGCAGGAUCCCACCCCACUUGAAGAGAAUAAAUCUAAAUUACAGGAUGUAAUACCUCAGCCGCUGCUAGAUCAGUAUGUGUCCAUGACUGACCCAGCUCGAGCCCAGACUGUCGAUACUGACAUAGCCAAACACUGUGCCUACAGCCUCCCAGGGGUGGCACUGACCCUGGGCAGGCAAAAUUGGCACUGCCUGAAAGAUACAUAUGAAACACUGGCUUCUGAUGUACAGGUAAAAGCCUUUCCAGAGGCACGUGCAGAAAGAGGGUGGGUCAUUCAUUAGGGAGAAAAGGGAAGCUGCAGCAAGGCUUAUUGGCCUGAAUUUUAUGUGGAUGCAAAUUGGCAUGUUUACUGGUCUCUGAUGAAAUAAAGCUUUAAGUGGCCAACA
ensembl:lncRNA novel transcript